CCGGCCCACCCCUGACGCGGAGCGAUCUAAAGGGGCUUGCGAAGGGGUCGCCGCCACGCGCAGACGCAGCGCUCCGUCCCAGGGGUUUCCCCGCGGGAAGCUGGGCUAGACCAUCGUGGCUGUCGACGGGGCUGGUCUUAGUGGUGCACUCCAGUAGGCGAAUACUGAAGAGGAGUUUGAAGCCAGGCCGAGCUGCACCUUAAAAAAAAAAAAACAAAAA